rnacentral:rRNA from 1 species
UGGGGAAUAUUGGACAAUGGAGGAAACUCUGAUCCAGCAAUUCUGUGUGUGUGAAGAAGGUUUUAGGACUGUAAAACACUUUUAGUAGGGAAGAAAAAAAUGACGGUACCUACAGAAGAAGCAACGGCUAAAUACGUGCCAGCAGCCGCGGUAAUACGUAUGUUGCGAGCGUUAUCCGGAAUUAUUGGGCUUAAAGGGCAUCUAGGCGGUAAGACAAGUUGAAGGUGAAAACCUGUGGCUCAACCAUAGGCUUGCCUACAAAACUGUUGAACUAGAGUACUGGAAAGGUGGGUGGAACUACACGAGUAGAGGUGAAAUUCGUAGAUAUGUGUAGGAAUGCCGAUGAUGAAGAUAACUCACUGGACGGAAACUGACGCUGAAGUGCGAAAGCUAGGGGAGCAAACAGG